rnacentral:sRNA from 1 species
UGAUAUAUUGAGUUGGCUUACGGUAUCGU